AAUUAUAAUCAGAAAAUUUAAAACUUCUCUGAAGUAUAAAGACUUUUUGUGUUAAACAUUUUGACAAAAAUGUGACAAAAAUGUUUCUGCCACAAAAUUAUUGAUAGAGAAAAUAUUGAAAUAAAUGCAGCAGUGAUUUAAAAAGACUUAAAUAACCUGAUGCUUAUGUACCUGUGAUCAUCAUGUGAAAGUCAGGUUUGGUGUAUUGUGUAAUUCUGUGAUUACCACAUUUCUGGCAUCGUGACAGCCCUGCUCUCUCCACCUGCACAGAGAGUGAGACACCUGAUGGUAUGCUGAGUGUAAUCAAUGAGAGAACAGAGUCCAAAAUUUACACAAACGAAAGAAAUAUAUAGUCAGAAUCAAAAUCACUGAUUUCCAUUUCACUCUUUGAGGUCACAAAGAUGCUCUGAGAUCUUCUUCCACAGCCUAACACAACCAUUCCUUUCCCCAGGCCAUCACUGACCACCACGAAACUGGUCAUGUUUGUGCCUCCAGACUCCUUCAUGUCUGUCACGUUUCCUCAGUAUAGACCUGAGUACCCUCAGAAACAUGCCUCAGUAGCUUCAGUAGGUGGAGGUCACUUUGUAGGGCUCUGGCAACGCUCCUCCUCUUCCUCCCUGCAGAAAACCUGUGGAGCUUGAAUCUGCUGCAGAUACUGUCUCAUGCCAUCAGCAGAGAAGAGGACAAUAACAAAAAGUAAACCAGAGAAAAGUCAGGAGGAGGGAUAAGAGCAGAGUGUUACCACUAUGGGGCUUUGCCUUGCUCUUGUCUUCUCAGGAUACAUGUUGUUGCCCUAAUUUGCACCAAUGCAGCUGAAAUGGAUUCAUAGUGGUUUAUGUCUCUGAACUGAUGCUUGCCUCAGUGUCCUGACACAUGCUCAGUCACAGAGGGAAGGAAAGCCCGGAAAGUUGAUUCUUUGCACGUUGAUGUUGCAUUUUCAGUCUCUAAGGCUGAAGAAGUCACAUAGGUAAGUUAAAUGUUUCUCCCACUGAAAACACAACAUACAGAAUAGAAGUUAGAACAGAAUCAACUCUCUGGCUCCUCCCUUAAUGUUCUGAGCAGCCUGUGUGCAGAGAUGUGGUAAGUUUGAUUGCUGAUGUCUGUGUACCUCUCUUCUGUAUGUGUUUGCUGUCUCAGGUGUUUGUCUUUGACUUUGACAUAUUGGGACGUGGCCAGCAGGGGACUGAGCAGAAACAGUUUGUAACAUGGUGUGUAAUAUUCACCUGGCAGGGUCCCCUCGCCCCCGAGGGGGGCUGCUGGUCCUGUUUUCACUCAGCUGCAUGCUGUUCUCGUCUCUGGCAGAGAACACCACAGAUCCGCUGCAGUUCGCAUACAGAUCCAACAGAUCCACAGAGGAUGCCAUCGCCCACGUCCUACACACCACUCUCAGCCACGUGGACAAGAAACAGGGUAACUAUGUGCGAAUGCUGUUUGUUGAUUACAGUUCAGCGUUUAACACAAUAGUGCCCUGCAGACUGUUCACAAAGCUGAGGGAUCUGGGACUUAACAGCCG
ensembl:lncRNA